rnacentral:lncRNA from 1 species
CUGAGCCCAUCCCCUCACUCCUGGCUUUCUGUGCCAGCCUUUGGACUUACCUUCUGCUUGUAGAACUGCCUUGGCAUUCUUAUCUCAAGCCUGGCUAGAAGCUCUGAGCCUUAUGGUUACAAACAUGCAAGAAAUCAAACAUCACAGUCUACACUGCUCCUUUCAAAGGUCGUUAACAUCUAUGCACCAAUGGAAAAGGGGUUGUCUGAGACAUCAGAGCACUUCAGGGUCAAGGACUGAGUCCCUACAAUCAAGGCAGGGUCGAGUAUCGUGGAGACAGCUGGUGCCUCUAGUGAGUGGUUGCCCAGGUUACAGUUCAUAGGUCACUGGAUCAAGAGACAGCCACACCCAGAGUUACGCAGCGAACUCCACAUGCCCCAGAAGUCCAGAUUACCUUGGAGGCAUCAUGUAUGGAAUUCCUCCAGUGAAAACUGAGGCCUCAUGUCUCUGUGGUACCUCUUCCUUAUCUCACCCAUGCACCUUCCCUGAGAUCUCCAUCCCCUAGAUGGAAAACAGAGCUAUGAAAACAGAGCCCUGAAAGAGACCAGCAAAGAUGGAAACUUAAUAUUUAACAAACCUGGUUUUGUGGCUAGUACAGCAAGGAUAAGCCAUUCAAUAAAUUCCACAGAGAUAAUUGGUUAUCUGUAAGUGAAAAUAAAAUAAAAUUGGAUCCCUACCUCACACUGCACACAAGAAUCCAUUCCAGAAGGGUUAGAGCAUUAAUGUGAGAAACAAAACUUUAAACUAUUAGAAGAAAACAUAGAAACAUAGGAGAAUGUGCCCAAAAUUAAGGGUGACAAAAAUACACUUGACUUCCAGAGAGAGAAGGCAUCUCAUCUGAAAUACUACACAUACCACAAAGUUGACUGUGCCCAGGACCCCCUCCUCUUCUUUGCUCUCCUACCCUUAUUCUCACAGCUCAGGUUGUAUGAUGUUGUGGGGGUGGUGACAGUGAGAGUAAUUUUGCUAACAGUUAGAAAAUUUGGGGGCUGGCUGAUUAGAAUGUGGGCUAGGAGAGAUCCUUUGUCCUCAGCUUUGGACCUUCAUCACCAAUUUCAAGUUCCAGGAACAGUUCCACUUCACAUCCUGUUACAUUGCCAUUAAAUGGGAAGAUGACUCCCUUGGAAAUGUGUCCAGGGAGUAUGCAAAGGAUCACUGUGCCAUUCUCACACCUCAGGUCUUUAGAAUAACUUGUUUCAUUUGUUUGCUUCUAUAAGGUUUUUAUGUCUUUUGAGGGGCAACAGAGGAUUAGAUUAUAGAUUUUUGUACUACUGAUUUAAAUUUUUGAACCAAUAUAGAUAUAAAUACAUGUUUUCAUUUUAACUGAUUUUUAACUUAUUUUACAUUGUGGUCACAGCAUGUAGUUUCUAUGACACCAAUUAUUUGCCAUUGUUUGAGACUUGCUAGAUGGCUUAGCAUGCAGUCAGUUUCAUAAAUAUGCUAUGUCUUCUUGAGCAAAAGUAUAUUCACUUAAUGUUGGCACAGGGUUCAUUAUAUAUCUAUUAAAUCUGUUUAAUUGCAUUGCUCAAGAGUUCUAGUUUUUUAUGAUAUUUUCUGGUUUGGUUUGUCAGCUACUGAGAUAGAUAAGUUUCAAUCUCAUUGUAUGGGUGGUAGAUUUGUCAUUUCUCCUCACAGUUGUUUUUCUCAUUUUUUGCUGUAGUAUUAUGAGCAUAAAUGUUUAGAAUUAUUAUAUCUUCCAAGUGAUUACAACCUUUGACUAUUAAAUAAUAACUCUUUUCAUCUCUGGAAGAUUUUUCCCCUCCUUGGUCUAUUUCCUCUGAUAUUAAUACAGCUAGGACAGUUUGUUUUUGAAUUGUAUUUACCUGGUAGGUUUUUCCAUCCAUUAACCCUCAAACUUUAUGCUUUCUUUUCUUUUAACUAUGUCUUCUGUAAGAUACGAUUUUAAUCUUUACCCAUUCUAUCUAUUUCUGGAAGAUUUGUGUCUUAUAUAUUGCGAUUAUGAUCUCUCAGGGGUUGUUUCUUUCAUACUAUUUACAGCUUUACAGCCAGGCACAGGAAGACAAACAUCGCAUGUUCUCACUUAUUUGUGGGAUCUAGAAAUCAGAACAAUUCAACUCAUGGACAUAGAGAGUAGAAGGAGGGCCAGAGGCUGGGAAGGGUAGUAGGGGUUUUGGGAGUAGAUGGGGAUAGUUAAUGGAUACCAAAAAAGAGAAUGAAUAAGGCCUACUGUUUCAUAGCACAAUAGGGUGACUAUAGUCAAUAAUAACUUAAUUAUAUAUUUUAAAAUUAAUACUGUAAUUGGAUUGUAACUCAAAGGAUAAAUGCUUGAGGAGAUGGAUACCCCAUUCUCCAUGAUGUGCUUAUUUCAUUAUUUCACCUUGCAUACUUGCACCAAAAUAUCUCAUGUACCCCACAAAUACAUACACCUACUAUGUACCCA